rnacentral:misc_RNA from 1 species
UGGCUCUCGCAUCGAUGAAGAACGCAGCGAAAUGCGAUAAGUAAUGUGAAUUGCAGAAUUCAGUGAAUCAUCGAAUCUUUGAACGCACCUUGCGCUCCUUGGUAUUCCGAGGAGCAUGCCUGUUUGAGUGUCUUGAAAUUCUCAACCUUCAUGGUGUUUGUAAUGAACACCCUGAAGAGUUGGACUUGGAGGUCUGCUGGCGUUUGACGUCAGCUCCUCUUGAAUGCAUUAGUGGGGGCUUUGUGCUUGACCAAGUAGCGGUGUAAUAGAUAUUAUCACUGCGAAAUCGUUGAGACUUAUAUGGCUUUCCUGCUUCCAACCGUCUGCAAGGACAACUACAUUCAUUCUUUGACCUCAAAUCAGGUAGGACUACCCGCUGA